UUCAUUCCGAGGCUUCAUUCUUCAUUAGAAAUACGCAAGAAGUUCGUUGUCAUCACACAAUAUUUUAUUUUACGAUCUUUUCUAAAUAAUGUUUGCUAUUUGUACGAAUUAUGGGAUUUACUUCUUUCUUUUACCGAUGGAACUUCCAAAAUUUCUUUUAAAUAAUUUUCCAUAGGCGGUAAUGGUUUAUCCGGAUUAAUAACACGAUGCGAUAAUAUGUGCCAUUUGUGUUGUAUUUCAGGAUUUGGCACAUAUCCCGGUAAAAAAUACUGACUUCCAUCUAUCUCACAACUAUCCCUGUUUAAAAAUAUAUAACUACAUGGAAGAUGCUUAACUAAGUGUACUAAAGUACUAAUAUUCUUACUGUGUAUCAGAUAACAUCAGAGAAUUUAUUAAACUAUCUACAGCUUCAUUUUGUUCUUCCAAUAAUUGUUUCAUCACUGACUUCAUGGAUCUUGUUUCCAUAACUCUUCUGUCUUCUGCAAAUACUAAUUCUAUUUCUACUAAGCACUUACCCAUGGUUCAUCAGGAAUAUCAAUACAAGGAAACAACGCAACCAUUCUAGGUGAACUAUUAUUUCCAAGAACUUUUCUCACAAUAGCCACUGAAUUUGUUUUUUGCAUUGCAAGCACCAAACUAUAAAAUGGCUUUGUUAUAUUCUAAAAAAAUCAGGAUAAAUACAUAUAUUAAUUUGAAAUUUAUAAAUAAAAUAAUAAAAUAUACCUCUGAUUCCUUGGCUGGUAAAAGAA